rnacentral:rRNA from 1 species
AUUGAACGCUGGCGGCAGGCCUAACACAUGCAAGUCGAGCGGAUGAAGGGAGCUUGCUCCUGGAUUCAGCGGCGGACGGGUGAGUAAUGCCUAGGAAUCUGCCUGGUAGUGAGGGAUAACGUCCUGAAACGGGCGCUAAUACCGCAUACGUCCUGAGGGAGAAAGUGGGGGAUCUUCGGACCUCACGCUAUCAGAUGAGCCUAGGUCGGAUUAGCUAGUUGGUGGGGUAAAGGCCUACCAAGGCGACGAUCCGUAACUGGUCUGAGAGGAUGAUCAGUCACACUGGAACUGAGACACGGUCCAGACUCCUACGGGAGGCAGCAGUGGGGAAUAUUGGACAAUGGGCGAAAGCCUGAUCCAGCCAUGCCGCGUGUGUGAAGAAGGUCUUCGGAUUGUAAAGCACUUUAAGUUGGGAGGAAGGGCAGUAAGUUAAUACCUUGCUGUUUUGACGUUACCAACAGAAUAAGCACCGGCUAACUUCGUG